AAAAUGCAGAGACCGAACACGACGAUCACCUCUCUGUAAUCUCUCAAGUUCGCAUUGACACCUUCUUUACUAAUUAAUGCUUUGAUUUUAAUGAUGGUGUUCAAUCAAACCAAGCCAUCGCUUUCUCGUCCAUCCAGCUUCCCUUCGGACCCUCCCUUCGUAACCAAACCCAAUCUAUAUAUAUAUGAACCCAAACGAGUAGUCUCUGCAAAUCUUAUCGCCUCGGUUUCUUCUUUCACACCAUUCUAUCUGUAAGAGUCUGAAAGCAUGGUUAAUCCUCAGCUUCGUCUGAGCUGAGGGUUAGACGUUGUAAGGAGACUGUUCUCACCCGGCUCCUUCAUCUUAGGGAAGCAAGGAAUAUGAAGAAAGGUGGUGAGUAAUGGCCGUUGAUAUGGGUUUGGUGGACGAGAAGCAUCUUAGAGAAGGAUGGAUUUUUGAGCUCCGUGUAUUCGAGGUCACUGACGGCAGUACCCGUCUCGGACCAAACCACUUUCCUCGAGAUUAUGGAAACAAACAACCCUUUACCUACGGAGAUCUUCAUGUUCUGCAAUUAUGAGGAACUUAUGUUGCUAAUACGUACACCCAAUUACGAGUUUUGGUGAAGUAAUGGCCAUCAAAAACACAUAUAUGAUACAACUAUGAAACACAUACAAUCAGUGCCGGCCCAGUCUAUAAUAUUGCCUAAAGCAAAAACCAAAUUUCGCGCCCCAAGAGAUUCGAACCUAUCAACUUUAAACCAGGUAAGGGUACACAACCACUAGGGCACAUGAAAGUUUUGGUCAUUGUGAUGCCCAUAAAUAUACAAUCCAGCUCUGUUUUCGGGAAGCUCAGAAUGUGAAAAAGGUGGUGCACUUAUGGGUGUCGACAUGCUAACUAUUGGAUGAUAAGGCAGGCAUAUCUCAUCCAAGCCUCUGUAAUGGUCCAUCGGCUUAACGCAUUCAAGUAACUUCUUAAGGAGGGAGCUACACAUGAGCUUAGUGGAGAAUUUGAUGGUAACAAGAAUUUGGAGCACGAGAUCUCCAUGAGACUUUUAGCUAAGGCGAAGAUAAGCUCUUUAUAAGUUAUCUUCUCCUCUACGUGUUACGUGAAUUAGUCUCUUCAAUUUGUUCAAAGUGAUUCUCUUCAGCUUGAUCAUAAUAUCAUUGAAUGUAUAAACCGCUAAGCAAAGCACAAUAUAUACACAAGAACCCGGAGGAAUGGAGUGUAAGGGAUUCUCAGUCAUGUGUUAUGAUGGAGAGUCUGGGAUGACAAGGUGAUACUGUAGGUUCCAUUGCCCGCCACAGUUUACCAAUAACUGGUUAGAUUACAUAGCACAUCUACUUUAUUUUCACUAUUAAAUUAGUUUUUCUUCACCGCAGUAGCUCUUGGAGGCUCAAGUGCUCAACCUUUCUUUUGGUCGCUAAUGCGUGGAAAAGUACCAGAGCUGGCGUUGUUGGGAUGAGGAGUUUGAGUUUCCGCUCACAGUACCAGAGCUGGCGUUGCUCACAGUUGAAGUUCAUGCCAGAGAAGGACGACUUUGA